GUUGAAAAUGAAAGAAGUGAUCUGAUUGGUUGCUAUGGGCAACUCAGCAACUUUUCCUCUGGACAGGUUUUGACAAAUCUCCCCCAUAAUGUUGAGGGUCCUCGCUGAACAUGUGCUCCUCACAAGAUUUCUGACACAGAAGUAAAAAGAAUGAUUAGAAGAGUUGUCCAAGAGCCAAGGACACUUGUUGAGAGCUUCAAAAAGACCUAGAAUAAGCAGUUAUUGCAGCAAAGGAGGGUUUUGAAGAAUCCAAAAAAUACUAAAGACAAAGCCAACUAAUCCAACAUCUGUUGGAGACAUCUGUGGAGCGGCCACCUGCCACCAGAAGAGAACCUGCGAGAUCUACUGUACUGUCAGAGAGCAACCACGGAUGGACAACUGAGAAAAGAGGCCACAAAAAAGAAGAUUCUAAAUAAAAUAGUGAACUAAACAUUCAGAGCAUCUCUCCCAUGAUGUAUAUAUUUACAUAGUAUAUAUUUACAUGUAACUAUGUAACUAUGUAAAUAUAUACAUCAUGGGAGAGAGGCUCUGAAUGUUUAGUUUUGUUGCAAUAGAUUUUCUUCUCCUUCUUCUGUUUAUUCAAAUUUUUACUCAUUCAUUUGAAAUUACUCUCACUAGUUUUUCUUUCCAACAAUAAAUAGUAAAUUACCAUUUCCUCCUGUCCUCAUACCUCCAAGCCACCCCGCCCCCACAAGAAAAAAAAAUGAAUGUAUAGAAAACCAAAUUAAAUAAUUUCAUUUAAUUUUCCUCUUACCUACCUUAUCUUUGCUUUACCUUGACUAUUUCUCAACUAUUUCUUUAAUAUAGUAUUUCCAGCAAAAGCAACCUUUAGCUACCUCUCCCAAAUGUCACUGAAUAGUGUACAAUCAAAAUGAGCAAUAUUAUACAACUCUACAUUCUUAUGUUAAAGGAGACCAGUGGCUAUUCCAAAAUAAAAAAGAGAUUUUACUGUCAUUAAAUAACGUAGGGUGCCCUGAUCACACACCUUUUCUUUUUUUUUUUUCUUUUUAUAGUUUCUUGAUACACAAUUCUGUCCCUGAAAUAUGAGGGUUUAUAGUUCGUAUGACAAUUCAGGAAUUCAUGGGUAUGAACUUAAUUUUAGCGAUGGGAGUAACCAUACAAUGGGCUAGGUUAUACAGUAAGGGGGUGUUUUAUGCAUACAUGCCCCUCAAUGUACAACAUUAAAAACCCCUGACUGUAUAAUCCCACCUAUCACCUGAUAAGCUAUUUAAUGACUCAAUUUAUUUGGCUUCGCCAUAGGUCCUCUUUAAACUAUAGCUAUCUUUUUAACCCAAGAUCUUAGUUUUAUUUUUUCAUAUUUUUGACAUUCUGUAUUUUAUUCCAUACUUAAUUAACCUCUUUUCUUUACUGACUAAAUCAAAUGUAUUAAAUAAGCUUGAGUCGCUUGAUUUUCCAAAUAUGUUGAUUCAACCCCAUUUCUGUCCCAUUUUAAAUGUACAAUUUACUGACUCUAAAAAUUGAGUGUUCCUAUACGCCUUAGGUUCCUCUAUUGACUAUCUAUCACAGGCACUAGAUCUACUUCCCAUUUUCUCUUACUAUCAUACUUUAUGUACUUACUAUAUACCUCUAAUAACUCUUUAUAUCUCCUGUGUGAUUUUUAAUUUGAUGUAAGACUUUCACCACUUGUGAUUAAUUCUCUUACCCAUUCAUCCUUUACAUAACUCUGAAUAUCUAGAAUACAUAUAGUUUGAAACUAAACUUCUGCUCCUUUCAGGCUGGGGCCACAAUGAAUGGAUACCUGGAUUUCUCGUGACUCCUGGGUCGCAGUCACUUGAUUUCUGGUGUAGCCAAAAUUGCUGUGUCCCCCGGCCAUGUUUUAUGUUGGAUCUCCCAUGGUGUCUGUGGUCACGUGUAAAUUUGAAGUCAUGGCCGAGCUCAUACAUGACCUCGCCACUAUUAUAUACAUUGUUUGACACAUGAUCACCACAUGGCCACUAAUAAUCAGAUGUGGCAAUGUGCAAAUAUAGUAUCAGAUCUAUAGAUUAUGUGGUGAUCACAUUACAUCUAUACAAUGUACGGGUUAAAGAGGAGACCAUGUGCAGAACUCAAUACACUGUAUGGGCUGGAGUGAAGGUAUGAAUGGUCUCAAUGAACACAUUCAGCUUUGGGAGCUUUCACAACAUAAAGGGAGCAAAUAUUUUAAUGCAAAUUUAUUCGCAAGUUAGAUUAUAUGUAGUAACGGAGCCAACUGUGAUUCUGUUAAAAAAAUACUACGGAUGCACCGAUGCAGCCAGGGACCCGCCGGUAAUGGUGGACAUCAGCAAUCGAGCUGAUAUCCGCUAUUAACCCCUCAGAUGCCAUGAUCAAUAUUCAUCAUGGCAUCUGCGGCAGUUCCGGUGGCUGAUCUGAUCGCCCGCGGCAAUAUAAAUCAAUAUAUUUGGUAUUGUCGGGUGUGGAAAUGUCUGGUCUAUAAAAACAUUAUGUUAAUGAUCCUGUACAGUGAACA